rnacentral:rRNA from 1 species
UGGGCAACCUGCCCCAGACUCAGGGAUAACCCCGGGGAAACCGGGGCUAAUACCCGAUACUCCGAUCGAACCACAUGGCUCGAUCGGGAAAGCUCCGACGGUCUGGGAUGGGCCCGCGGCCUAUCAGCUUUGUUGGUGGGGUCAUGGCUCACCAAGGCGACGACGGGUAGCUGGUCUGAGAGGAUGGCCAGCCACAUUGGGACUGAGACACGGCCCAGACCUCCGUACGGGGA